rnacentral:rRNA from 1 species
UACGGAGGGGGCAAGCGUUGUUCGGAAUUAUUGGGCGUAAAGCGUAUGUAGGCGGCUAGGUAAGUCAGGCGUGCAAGCCCGUGGCUCAACCACGGAAUUGCGCUUGAAACUGCUUAGCUUGAGUAUAGGAGAGGAAAGCGGAAUUCCCAGUGUAGCGGUGAAAUGCAUUGAUAUUGGGAAGAACAUCUGUGGCGAAGGCGGCUUUCUGGCCUGUUACUGACGCUGAGAUACGAAAGCCAGGGUAGCGAACGGG